CAUUUAGGUGAUGUUGUGUAUAUUGCAUUACUAGAAGUUGGUUCCUACGUGAAGCAGGGCAAAAAUUUUGGUGCAGUUGAGAGUGUCAAGGUUAAUGCAAGUCCAUUCGAGGAUGGCUGGAUCGUAAAGGUCAAAUCGAGCAACGAUGGAGAAGUGAAUUCAUUAAUGGAUUCCGAACAAUACUCAAAGUUCUACGAGGAAGAGGAUGCAAAGCAUUGAGGAUAUUCAUUUUCAAAAUCACUUCAUUGCCUCUGAAUUGGAAGGUUGGUAUUGAAUGGAGGUACCCAACUGAAGAUGGAUAG